rnacentral:sRNA from 1 species
GCCCUGCGUCGACCAGAUAGCGGUUCUGGUAAAGCUU